rnacentral:lncRNA from 1 species
UUCCACUCAUGCAUUGUUGGAAUGGAAGAAGGAAUAAUUGAAAUAUUUUAAGGACAUAUUCCCCCAUCAGUUCCUUUCCUCUGGUAGUCGGCUACUCUUUUUCUAAUCAUUGCCUUGAAGACAGGCUAUAAUAAGAGAAAGCAGAGAAAAAGGCACCUUUUUCCUGGUGUUUGGGUUUUUAAAGGGCUCAGAAAAAUAGGUGAGGGAAAACAGCUGAAUAAGAACAAGGGCUUCCCAGGUUGGAAGAGAACGUAGUGUUGAAGGGAAAUGGAAGAUGGAGCCUCAGAGAGUGGGGAAAACGCAGAGAAGAAAUGACCCUGGAGUAUCUCAUGGAAGCAUCACUGUGACAGGAGCAGAAGACUCCCCAGGGCCAGAGAUUGGCCUAGAAGUAGAUUAGAGACCCAUCCAACCCAAAGAUGGGGGAAAGGGAGAACACGCAGCAUUUUGGAUAUGUCAUUCCACAGGCUCUGGCCUCCGUGGUUUCCGAUGAGGUGUCAGCUCUUCAUCUUUUUGGCCCUCAAUCUCAUCAUUAUCUCAGGCACUGAAGAGCUGGGGCUACAGAGGCAAACAUGACCAACAAGGACCCUCCCUUCAGAGGGCUUAUGUUUUAGUUGAAGGGGAAAGAUCACAGCAAGGAAACAAA